GCUCUCCCGAUCUGGGGAUAGGAGAGAGAUAGAGCAGCCAUGAUUGAAUGGUGGAGUAGACUUGAUGGGCCGAAUGGCCUAAUACUACUUCUAUCAAUUAUGACCUUCUGACCUAA